GCCGCCACCAUCUUGAAUUGAGGUGUCCGCGUGGCCGUUUCACACUAGGAACUCUGGUCUGAGGUGUCGCGGCAAGGCCUCUGCAUGCGCCCCCCAUGAGCAAGUAAAACUAGAUGAAGCACGAAGGAAAAGAAAAAGCAUAUGUUGUUUCCUACUAUGUGUCAGACCCCAUGUGAAGUACUGGGAUGCAGAGCUGAGUAAGCUACAGUCCAGUCCUCAGGAAGUGCACAGUCUGAGUGGAGGAGACCACCAGGAACAGGAGCCCACCUCAGGAAUGGUUCUUGGCACCUCUUCCAGGAACCUUCCAUUGCUGAUCUCACUGCCCAGUUACUCCAUCUCCCAAGCCAGCCAGAAUUCUGAUGUCCAACCACACAAGCAUUCUUCAUCUGGCACAUUUUUAAACACCUGUUUUUGACAGACCUCCAGAAUUAACACUUACGGCAAGUAAAUUUGGGACCAUUCUCCAUUUAAAGGAAACAAGUCUCCUGAGAGCAUGACUGAUUCCAGGACUGGGCAGAGAAGGUUCAGGUCAAACCCAGAACAUCUUGUUAUCUUACAGAAAAAGGUGUUGACCCCAAGGGCGCCCUCAGUACACAUCCACACACUACGUUCUGUCUUGCACCCUUCUCCCUGAAGAAACAAAAUGGCAACAGGCACUCUGCUGAGCACUUCCUAAGCAUCGCCUCAUGUAAUCCUGUCAACUUUCCCCAUAACGGAUGAGGAAACUCAGACACAGAGGACAUAAGUGAUCUGGCCAAGGAUCAGCAGACUUGAACCACUCCAGACCUCUUACAUCACUUUAUUCUACAUCUUACAAUAGUCUGAAACUGUUAGUAACAAAAACGCAUGUACAAUAGAAUGCUGAAAAUAAAUAAAGCCUCUGGGAAGGGGGUCAAUAAUUGAGACUGGGACCUGGGGUAAAAUAGUUACUGCAUCAAGCAUUAGUUUAGAGCUAAGCUUCCCAGCAACCAAGGCAAAACAGAAUACACAAUAUGUCAUACAGUAUCUGAUUUUUAAAAAAACAAGCCAUGUUCUUCCUCCCCUCACACUGAACCUGGUGUCUACUCAUUUAAUCAUCAA